GUCAUGCUGGUUUAGUGGUUAGUGCAGUUGCCUUGCACCCCCAGGGUUGGGGGUUCGAUUCCCACGUGUGUGU